AUUGAACGCUGGCGGCAGGCCUAACACAUGCAAGUCGGGCGUGCGGCGGACGGGUGAGUAAUGUAUGGGGAUCUGCCUGAUGGCGGGGGAUAACUACGGGAAACUGUAGCUAAUACCGCGUACCAUAGGAUGAGCCCAAGUGGGAUUAGGUAGUUGGUGAGGUAAAGGCUCACCAAGCCGACGAUCUCUAGCUGGUCUGAGAGGAUGACCCGCCACACUGGGACUGAGACACGGCCCAGACUCCUACGGGAGGGAGCAGUGGGGAAUAGUUCACAAUGGGCGCAAGCCUGAUGCAGCCAUGCCGCGUGUAUGAAGAAGGCCUUAGGGUUGUAAAGUACUUUCAGCGGGGAGGCGUUACCCGCAGAAGAAGCACCGGCUAACUCCGUGCCAGCAGCCGCGGUAAUUC
rnacentral:rRNA from 1 species